UCCAAUAACAGAACACCGCUCGGGUUCUGAUCGGGGGGGCCGUUCCUCCCAAUCACGCCCUUCCAGGUCUCACUGUCAUUGCCCACGUGAGCAUUGAAGUCCCCCAACAGAACAAUGGAGUCCCCAGCGGGAGCGCUCUCCAGCACCCCCUCCAAGGACUCCAAAAAGGGUGGGUACACUGAACUGCUGUUUGGUGCAUAGGCACAAACAACAGUCACUGGGACACACAAACCCCUCCACCACGACAAGGUGACGGCUCAAGGAGGGGUGGAUUAACUUCCAAAUACAUGAAACUUUGGCUGCUAACAUUUUGAAAUAUAUACUAGGCUUUCCAAAAAACUCUCUACUCAAUUAUAGAAACCCACUCUUUAGAAACUGCCACCCCAGAGUCACAACUGUGAGAGGUGAGCGUAAAAGAGGCCUUGCCGGUGUCUUUUUAAAAAAUGUUUUCAAAUGUAGAAUCGACAGGCAAGUAAACAAAUGAAUCAUAGGAAUCGGAUUACUGGGAACCAGUUCUAAAAAACAACUGCUUUUCAAUUUCGGCUUCGAGAAACUCAAGGGCCUGUGGUGCUACAAAAGACAGUACAAAUAAUAACAUCAAUAUAAAAGCGAAAUAAACUAUAGUAUAUACAGUACAGAAAGUGUUAAUUGAAUGUACAAAUAUCAAAGGUCAUUUGACGUGUGCAACAAAGUCAAGGUCAGAGAACCAAGGCAAAUAAGACAUUAAUAAAUUAGAUGACAAAACCCCAAUGCUGCUGAAGUGGCUGGUGCGACCCUGAGUCUGGUGUGAGCGUGUGUGUGUGUGUGUGUGCGUGUGUGUGUGUGUAUUGUGUGUGUGUUUGUGAGUGUGUGUACAGCUACAUGUUUGCGGUGCAUCAGAGUUCAGAGUUCAGGUGGACAGAAGAGGUAGACGGGCAGAGUGGGCAGAGUGCAUGAUGGCAGCAGAGAGGCUGUGUGAACGAUGGGUGGCAUCCCCCGCUACGCGUAGGGCUUUGCAGGAAGUAGAGACGCUGGUGAGCUUUCUUGGCCAGUGAUGAGGUGUUGCUGGUCCAGGAGAGGGCCUCGGUGAUCUGCACUCCCAGGAACUUGGUGCUUCGCACCCUCUCCACCACAGCACCGUUGAUGUUCAGGGGAGCAUGCUCGGAGUGUGCUCUCAUGAAGUCCACAAAAAUCUCCUUGGUUUUCUGGCUAUUCCCUCCAUCGUGUUCGCCAACGUACGCUCUCUGGACAACAAGAUGGAUUACAUUUGACUGCACCGCUCUACCCGUAAGACUGUGGGAGAGUGCUGUGUUUUUUGUUGUGGAAACAUGGCUUAACAGCAGCGAUCCAGACAGCGCCAUUCAGCUCGACCGGCUAGCAUGUGACCGAGUGGACAGAACUCUCGCGGGAGGCAAGACUCGCAGCGGCGGACUGUGUGUUUACAUCAAUGGCGCCUGGUGCCGGGACGCUACCUUGGUCAGUCAACACUCCUCACCGCUACUGGAGUUUAUGGCUCUGAAGUGCCGGCUGUUUUAUUUUCCAAGCGAAUUCACUGCCAUACUGCUUGUGGCAGUCUAUAUUCCUCCAAACUCCACCAAUAACAGGAGUGAGGUGCUAAAUGAGCUAUACCAUCAUAUCAGUGAACAGCUGACAGCCCACCCAGCUGGUUCAAGCUCUGCUAAGCUAUUUUUGGUGCAAAGGAAGUACACAUUAUACUUUGUCACUGCCUGAGAAAAUUAAGACAUUUGUAUAUGUACUUCACAUCUGAGAUUAUAAAGUUAUUUGAAUUGUCUUUUGUUGAGCCUUUUAAGUAAUUCUUUAGUUUUUCAGAUGAGAAGUCUGAUAUAACAGAGGCAUUGAUUGCCAUGGUAGUGGAGGAUUGUCUGCCAUUCUCUAUUGUAGAUGGGAGUGGGUUCAAAAGAUUUGUGAAAUCGCUGAACCCAUCUUAUGAAGAUCGUUGGAUAUUUCAAGAGCAGCAGUACUGCAAAGCUGCGAUUGGCUGGCAACCAGUUCAGGGUGUACCCCGCCUCCUGCCCGAUGACAGCUGGGAUAGGCUCCAGCACGCCCGCGACCCUAGUGAGGAGAAGCGGCUCAGAAAAUGGAUGGAUGGAUGUCUCUUCAGUCCACACAAAGCAGGUGAGGCAGAAAGACGACUGACCUCUCAAUGUGCUUCAGCUAUAAGACGCUUCAGGCUCUACUUCAGCUUCAUCAUUACCAUCUGAAGUUUCACAGUCACAAACACGAGGAAGAAAACUGUGGCAUCGCCUAGACAGAUCCAUUCAGCAAAGUAUAACUCCCACAUCUACUGAUAGUAAAUGCAACAAUCAAAGUACAGUAAUACCUGGCAGAACUAAACAUAAACAGACAGGAGGACCCACUGCAGUACUGGAGAAAGCAAAUAAAUUAUUUUCCAAAUUUUUUUACACUGGCUGUCAUGUUCUUCAUCUUCUGCUUCAU